GACGAACGCUGGCGGCGUGCCUAAUACAUGCAAGUAGAACGCUGAAGGAGGAGCUUGCUUCUCUGGAUGAGUUGCGAACGGGUGAGUAACGCGUAUGUAACCUGCCUGGUAGCGGGGGAUAACUAUUGGAAACGAUAGCUAAUACCGCAUAAGAGUAGAUGUUGCAUGACAUUUGCUUAAAAUGUGCAAUUGCAUCACUACCAGAUGGACCUGCGUUGUAUUAGCUAGUUGGUGAGGUAACGGCUCACCAAGGCGACGAUACAUAGCCGACCUGAGAGGGUGAUCGGCCACACCGGGACUGAGACACGGCCCAGACUCCUAAGGGAGGCAGCAGUAGGGAAUUUUCGGACAUGGACGGAAGGCUGACCGAGCAACGCCGCGUGAGUGAAGAAGGUUUUCGGAUCGUAAAGCUCUGUUGUAAGAGAAGAAAGAGUGUGAGAGUGGAAAGUUCACACUGUGACGGUACCUUACCAGAAAGGGACGGCUAACUACGUG
rnacentral:rRNA from 1 species